GAUGAACGCUGGCGGCGUGCCUAAUACAUGCAAGUCGAGCGAACGGACGAGAAGCUUGCUUCUCUGAUGUUAGCGGCGGACGGGUGAGUAACACGUGGAUAACCUACCUAUAAGACUGGGAUAACUUCGGGAAACCGGAGCUAAUACCGGAUAAUAUUUUGAACCGCAUGGUUCAAAAGUAAAAGACGGUCUUGCUGUCACUUAUAGAUGGAUCCGCGCUGCAUUAGCUAGUUGGUAAGGUAACGGCUUACCAAGGCAACGAUGCAUAGCCGACCUGAGAGGGUGAUCGGCCACACUGGAACUGAGACACGGUCCAGACUCCUACGGGAGGCAGCAGUAGGGAAUCUUCCGCAAUGGGCGAAAGCCUGACGGAGCAACGCCGCGCGAGUGAUGAAGGUCUUCGGAUCGUAAAACUCUGUUAUUAGGGAAGAACAUAUGUGUAAGUAACUGUGCACAUCUUGACGGUACCUAAUCAGAAAGCCACGGCUAACUACGUG
rnacentral:rRNA from 1 species